UACGUAGGCAGCGAGCGUUGUUCGGAAUUACUGGGCGUAAAGAGUGUGUAGGCGGUGCUCUAAGUUCGGUGUGAAAUCUCCCGGCUUAACUGGGAGGGUGCGCCGGAAACUGGAGUGCUCGAGCGUGGGAGAGGAAAGCGGAAUUCCUGGUGUAGCGGUGAAAUGCGUAGAUAUCAGGAGGAACACCUGCGGUGUAGACGGCUUUCUGGACCAUUGCUGACGCUGAGACGCGAAAGCGUGGGGAGCGAACAGG
rnacentral:rRNA from 1 species